CCUACGCGGGCCGAGCUGCCCCUCUCUCCCGCCCCUCCUCCUCCCUUUCCCACCCCUCGGAGUGGAGCUGCACAUGCGGCUUCUCCCUGCCCUGUCCCGCCCAGUCACCGUCGCGCAGGAGCGGGUCCCUGUAGUCCCCAGCCGAUGGCAGGACAGUAGCCGCUAGUCAGAGGUCGUGAACGGCUGAAGCAGACACAGCGGCUCCGGGGCCUCAGAGAGUGGGUGUCUCCGGAGGCCAUGGGCUACCCUGAGGGGGAGCGCAGGGAAUCCCUGCCCGCUGCAGCGCCGCGGGAGCGGGGAAGCCAGGGCUGCGGCUGUCGUGGGGCCCCUGCCCGGGCGGGCGAAGGGAACAGCUGCCGGCUCUUCCUGGGUUUCUUUGGCCUCUCGCUGGCCCUCCACCUGCUGACGUUGUGCUGCUACCUAGAGUUGCGUUCAGAGUUGCGGCGGGAACGGGGAUCCGAGUCCCGCCUUGGCGGCCCGGGCACCCCUGGCACCUCUGGCACCCUGAGCAGCCCUGGUAGCUUCAACCCUGACGGUCCCAUCACCCGCCACCUUGGGCAGCCGUCACCUCAGCAGCAGCCAUUGGAACCGAGAGAAGCCACACUCUCCCCUGAUUCCCAGGACGGGCACCAGGUGAGUCACCUAGUAGGGGCUGGGGCGGCGGCGCCCCCUCCACUUAUGGGUUGGGUGAGGGCCCUCCAUCACAGGGGCCUGGGAGCACACUGCCACCUCAAGCCAAGUUAGAGGGCAGGAUCAGGAAGGGGGCAGGCGAGCAGGGAAGCGGUUCCAGAGCAGGUUGUCCUCUCUCCCUGGCUCAGCUCACCCAGACUCUCUCAGGACCCCUUGACUUAGAAACACCAGCCCGCGCCCGCCGCCCCUGCCUGUGGGCUGCCUCGGGAAAAGCUGGCAACGUUCCCGCCCCGGCCGUUGCGCCGAGGUGCCUGCGCUGCCCCCUCGGCGGACUAACGGCUUGGACCUUCUGUUCCUGAUGUGGUUCUCUGCCCACGGUGCUUGCUUUUUCGUGUCCAGAGUUGAUGCUAGCACUAGCAGGCUAUCCUUUGGAGUUGGAGCUGUAAACAGCUGUAACAACUGCUCCACGCCCGCUGAAACAACUUUUAACCGUAUUUUCAGUGCGGGGUCCUUGUGCGCUGACCAGAAAGUGGGCUUGUUCACACGUACCUGCAAUUUGAGACUGAUUGUCCUCGGCGUUCUAGUGAGGAGGAUCUGCGCCCCUGAG